GACGAACCGAGCGAACGUUGUUCGGAAUCACUGGGCUUAAAGGGCGCGUAGGCGGGUCGCUAAGUCCGUCGUGAAAUCCCCCGGCUCAACCGGGGAACUGCGAUGGAUACUGGCGGCCUCGAGGAACGUAGGGGUAUGCGGAACUAUCGGUGGAGCGGUGAAAUGCGUUGAUAUCGAUAGGAACUCCGGUGGCGAAGGCGGCAUACUGGACGUUUUCUGACGCUGAGGCGCGAAAGCCAGGGGAGCAAACGGG
rnacentral:rRNA from 2 species